rnacentral:rRNA from 1 species
UGGGGAAUUUUGGACAAUGGGCGCAAUGCCUGAUCCAGCCAUAGUCGCGUGCGGGAAGAAGGCCUUCGGGUUGUAAACCGCUUUCGGCCGGGACUGAAAUAGCCUUGCUGAAUACGUGAGGUGGAUGACGGUACCGGAAGAAGAAGCACCGGCUAACUACGUGCCAGCAGCCGCGGUAAUACGUAGGGUGCGAGCGUUAAUCGGAAUUACUGGGCGUAAAGCGUGCGCAGGCGGAUGCUUAAGCCAGACGUGAAAUCCCUGGGCUUAACCUAGGAAUGGCGUUUGGAACUGGGCAUCUAGAGUGUGGCAGAGGGAGGUGGAAUUCCUGGUGUAGCGGUGAAAUGCGUAGAGAUCAGGAGGAACACCGAUGGCGAAGGCAGCCUCCUGGGCUGACACUGACGCUCAUGCACGAAAGCGUGGGGAGCAAACAGGAUUAGAUACCUUGGUAGUCCACGCCCUAAACGAUGUCGACUAGCUGUUGGGGGCGGAAGUCCUUAGUAGCGAAGCUAACGCGUGAAGUUC